ensembl:lncRNA
AGGGUGUACUCCUAUGGUAUCCUUGGCUUUCAGAAACUGCAGCAGGCAGGACCACUCAGACACCACAGAGGAGAAUACAGGCGGAGCCCCCACAUAUCAACCACGGAAGAUUCACCAGCGUCCAUCCCACAGGCUUCCCUGAUGGCUCAGAGGGUAAAGAGUCUGUCUGCAAUGUGGGACACCUGGGUUUGAUCCCUGGGUUGGGAAGAUCCCCUGGAGAAAGAAAUUUCAACCCACUCCAGUAUUCUUGCCUGGAGAAUCCCCAUGGACAGAGGAGCCUGGUGGGCUACAGUCCAUGGGGUCGCGAAGAGACACGACUGAGCAACUUCACAUUCACGUUCACCUGUUCCCAGAGCUGCCAUUUCCUCUCAUCUUCCCCAGCAAGAUUGCAGGUGAAAUACAGUUUCUGAACAGUCAUACGACCUCUGGCAAGUCUAUAGGAAGCAAACAUCCUUUGGGCUUGGAUCCAGGGCCUGAAAUAGGCUGAAGUUGGCUCAGAAUCGACUGAGGAACAGGAAGUCAAAAGCCCAGGAGAGAAAUCACUGUGGAAGAAAAAUACAUCUGUGGAAAGUAAUCUACUCUAAUAAAUACUAACUGGAAGAGAAAAAAGAAUAUAAGUCACUAUGAAUUAGCAUCACUCUCAUUCUGUAUGUGUGUAUAUAAACUAUCAUAUAUAGAACAUUUUAAAAAUUCAAAAUCUUAACAGUGGUAUCUCUGAGAGAAGGAAUUAUAGAUAAUUUUAUUUUCUUUACUAUAAUUUUCAAUAUUUAAAAAAAUUUACAGUGAUCCUAUAAUCAGAGAAAAAUAAACAUUUCCAUUUUUUAAAAAGCAGAUUGCUUUCCAUAUGUCCCAGUGUCAUCGGUUGAGCAGGUGGGAGCUGAGGGG